UGUGUGUGUGUGUGUGUGUGUGUGUGUGUGUGUUUAAGUAGACCUGCUGCAUGCCACUGGUCCAUGAGUUUGCGUAUGUAUUGUACUGCAUCUGUAAUAUUUGUGUCCCUGUACGAUUUUUUCUUCAUGUGGACAUAAAUAAAUGGUUAAAAUGUGUGUGUGUGUGUGUGUG